AUUGAACGCUGGCGGCAUGCUUUACACAUGCAAGUCGAACGGCAGCGCGGGCUUCUUCCUGGCGUCGAGUGGCGAACUGGUGUGUAAUUCAUCUGAACGUGCCCAGUAGUUGGGGAUAGCUCGGCGAAAGCCGGAUUAAUACCGCAUACGACCUUAGGUUGAAAGCGGUGGUUCUUCGGACCUCUCGCUUUUUUAUCUGCCGAUGGCAGAUUAGCUAGUUGGUGGGGUAAAGGCCUACCAAGGCGACGAUCUGUAGCUGGUCUGAGAGGACGACCAGCCACACUGGGACUGAGACACGGCCCAGACUCCUACGGGAGGCAGCAGUGGGGAAUUUUGGACAAUGGGCGAAAGCAUGAUCCAGCAAUGCCGCGUGUGUGAUGAAGGCCUUCGGGUUGUAAAGCACUUUUGGCGGGAACGAAAAGGAGUGUGAAAAUACCACGGUACGAUGACGGUACCCGCAGAAUAAGCACCGGCUAACUACGUG
rnacentral:rRNA from 1 species